rnacentral:lncRNA from 1 species
GGGGCGGCAGGCUGCAAAGCGGCUGGGUCUGCUCAGUCUGUGACUUGGCGUCUCGGGGAGGGGAGCCUAGCAGGUUCGGGGAGGGGGGAGGCGAAUCUAGUAAGCUUCCAUCUGAAGAGGGUGGGCUGAGGCAGCUGCCUUCACCUUGUAUGUAGCGAACGCACUUUUUUUUUCUCCUAGAAACAGGGGAGAGAGUUAUCUGUGAAUAGAGGGCACAGAUGCCAAGGGAGAGAGUUACCUAAUGCUCACACCCAAGCUGAGGUCACCUAAGGGAUGUCCCACAGAGGUGGCACGCCCAGUGGUCCGAGGACAAUUACAGUGGCGCCCCCCCAGGGUGGGUCGCUUACUUCACAGUGCCCAGAUCUAAGCCUGCUCUGGCAAACAACUUAUUUAAGAGUCUGAACUCUCUACUUGCUUCCCCCAACCCCUACUAAACACCCAUGCCCCACCAUGCCCAAAUUAUAUACGAGAGCAGCAUGGAGGCGGCCACCUGCAGAUGGUGGCAUCUAUUUGCCAAAAAGUGGCUUUGUCCAAAUUGAGAAGAACUGAAAAGCUCUUUUGGCUUAGACAGUCCCUCACUUUCCCAUCAAGUUUCCUCGGCCCUUCACUCCCAUUCCCACCACUACCACCCCCAUCCCCCAGUGAUGUGUGUGUGUGAGUGUGUGAGUGUGAGUGUGUGUGUGUUUAAAAGAGAAAGACAGAGCUCCUUCCCCAGCCGCCUCGUAUCAAUAUGAAACUCUCAAAAUGCUCACUGUUGAGCCCACAUAGCUGAAGGCAGCGCUAGCAAGAGGCUUAAAGGUUUUAACACACCACCACCAUGAGGCUGCUGGCGCCCAGAGAGCUUUCGGGCUUGUCUGUUAAGAACCACACCAAAUCAAGAGAGGUCAGAAUCAGGUGAGAAGGGAGGAAGGGAAACAAAAAUAAAACAAAAUAAACUUAAAACAAAAACAAAAAACAAAAAACGAAACAAAAAAAAGAAACCACCAAAAACAGGUAGAAGAGGAUAAACAAAGGUGGGGGAGGGGGAAGAAUAAGAAAAACAGAAAAUGAUUCAAAGGAACGAGAAUAACUGGUUGUAUGGCCUGCAGGUUGUGGAUUAAAUUAAGAUUCAAACUUGAUUUUUUUUUUUUUUUUAAGAUUUGGGGCUUUCCCCUCCCCCACCCCGUAGUGAGAAGGUUGGAAGGAGAGAUGGUGAGGAUGGGAUGGAUGGAGGGGCAUCCUGCUCUUGUCAAUAUGCCAAGGCUAGUCAAUGGAGGGUGCAGCACAAGCCGGUCACCGAAGUGACUACAAAGAAGAAGUGCCAGGGAAUCGCAGCAUGGACCUUCCUGGGUUUGGGUUAUCGUGAUUCGUGUUUAAACCAGAAAGACUAAUUUUGCCCUGCACCAAAACCAGCAUCUCCCCUCUUCACUACUCAUUCAUGUAAGAAAUAGGAAUGAGAAUUUCAGAGCCCUUCUUGCUUAGCAUCAAAGGAUGAGGUCGGGGAAAAUCAACUCAAGAAAUUGAGCAUGUGACUUCAAAGCUUCUCCUCCCAUUAAUCCCAGUCUGAUGGGAUGGUAUUUGGUAAGGAAAGGUGAGCCUGGGGAUCAACCCCACUAAUGCUAUAAAAAUAAUGCAGAUACAGGAAGUGUGCUCAUCUAAGGACCCUAGAAUAUUGUCAGAACCAUGGCUGAUAACACUCCAACUGGAAACACGUGUGUAAGCACUGGCCAGCUUUCUGCCGCUGGAAGCAACCAAGAUGCUGCCUGCUUGAAGGCAACCACUGUCAGACAAUGUCACUGGCCUUGGAAAGGAAGGGUGUGCUGAGUUCCUCCUCUCAGUCUGUGCCCCAGAGCUGUCUGAUCAUGCCCCUCUGUGCUUGGGGUUUGGACUCAGCAAGAUGGCAGGAAGGCAGGGAAGGAGGGGAGGGGUGUAAGGGAGCAUGCUCAGUCCUCCCUGCCUCCCAGAGGCUGAGAUUCAUGGGGGCUAGUGGCCUCAGGGUCUGUCUGUUCCUUCUGGGUCAGAAGGAACUCUAGGGGAGCAAGCACCACCCCCUCUCACCCUCAAUUUGGCAAGGUUCCUUUUUCUCCCUGGGAGAGAGUAAAUAGACUAUGGGUUCUGCUUCCAUCCCAGAAACCAAGAUAAAUAAUUAAGCCUCUCAGAGUUUUAAACCACCUUAGCCUGCAGAUCAAAACAUGCUCAAAAAACUAAGAUGUCCAUGCAUUUUAAAAAUGGGAGAAGGAAAGGAGGUGGGGAGGGGGAGGGCAUAAGCAAAACUGAGAAAGCAACAGAGAAAAACAGAGAGAGGAAAGGAAAGGGAGAAAGAAAGAAGCAGGGAGAACAACCAGGAAGACAAGGGAACAGCACCAAGCAGCAUUCCAUGCUAUAUUAGGGCAGAGUGAAAAGAUGGGAAAAGCAACUUGGUGGGCUCAAAACAGAAUCUUGUUAAAAUGUCCACAAAUGUCAAAUGAAACUAGAAACCUUGUGUGGCAAGCUAGAAGCCCUGAUUGGCUAGGAGCAUUCUGGUACCUUCCUCACCCCUCCCACCCUCAUGACGUGGAAGUUUCCAGAUCAUAGGAAUGAGAGGGGUAUCUGGAACACGGGACAUGAAGACUAUGGCGACAGAGCAAUGGGUCUCCUAAGGUGGCUGAGCACAGGGCAGCUGGCACGCACACACAUUUCUGACGAGUCAGAAAAUGCCUCGGUUGGCAACUGCUUUUCUUUUUUUCCUUUUUUUUUUUUUUUAAGUACAUUUUGUCCUAUGAGUUUUAGCAUUAAGCCAGGGGUGGCCAUAGCCACGUUAAAAGGAAAAGUUGAGUAAAAGGGGGAAGGUAACCCAUACUCUUAGCACCCCCAACCUAGGCUUCAUCUCGAUUCAGAGGAGUGGCCUCUUAGAAACCCCUUUCUAGCUUCUUGUUUAUUCUGAAAGGAAACUAAGGGUUCUUCCUGAUCCUGUUUUGGAAUAGCAUCCUUCAAAGACAGCAGAAAUGCAUUUGCUAAUCAUUCCAUGGUAUGGAAAAGUCACCAACAAAGAAAAAUAUCUGCUGGGAAAGUCUGAACACUGCUGAGACUGGAAAGAAAACCAGGUGGAGACAGGGACCUGGGGAACUCUGGCACCUAGGACCAGGGGCUCAGCGUCUGCAGCAGAAAUGCUGCCCUAUUGACAGCCCCUCCAAGAUGCAUUUUAGAAAACCAUGCUGCUCAAACAGGAAGCAGCUACAAAGGUUUUCGGUUGGCAGAUUUUUUUUUUAUAUAUCAAUAAAAUUCUGGUCUCUGAAGAUACACCCAGGCUGUAAGCAAGGUGUAAGCUAAAGCUAUGCCCAAAUGGGGGAUGCAUGUUUGGGUCAAUGUUAGGAAUAACUUCAAGAAAAAAAAAAGUCUGACUUGCAGCAACUGCUUCCAAAACAAAAAAAGGAUUCAUAAACCACCACCCACCCCAUUAAUAAAAUAAACAAACUAGGUACCUGAACCGGCCUUAUUGUGAGGAGCACACAAUAGUGUCAGUUGUACAUUUCUACAGAUCAUGAGAAACCCUCUCUUUUAGUGACCCUUGUGGUUAACCAGUCAUUGGCCAUGGCAGGGCAUCUCAGAACAGGCUUCCACAGCUAGUUAUCUUCCCACCUGGUACAAGUAAAAUUUUGACAAAUUCACUGCUUAACAGAGUCCCUGCCCUCCCUGGCUAGUCCUAAUUAAAUACCUAACCUCCUCCAUCAACUUUGUCACAAAACUCCUUUCUGUUGUGCAGAGAAGACCCCAGGACUGUGUCAAAGGGACAUCUGUCAGCGCUGUGAACACUACCAUCUCACAGAAUGCCUGGGGAGUUCCUCUCCUGCCGGGUGUUCAACUCGCCCCCAAAUCCCUCAUUCCACAGGCAGAGGGCUGUCUGUGUGGCUCCCUCUCAGGGAAUACUCUCAGGCCCUCUCUCCUCUAAUGUGUGCUGGGGUCAACACGAGGCACUUCACCGAUCUCUCGUAUUGGCAUCAGAGAAGGGGGGAAGAGACACAGGAGACUCGUGGGCAUGCACGUAAUGGGAUGCACAUCUGAUCUAACGUCUAAACACGGAGCACAUGGCAAAGUCAUGAAGGGGAGGGACACGUGACGAGGGAGGCACUACAAACAGGGAAGCGUGUUUAGGGUGUUGAAAUACCUACCAUUGUAAUAUUCCAAAUUCAAAGACUGCUUGUAUCAGAACAAAGAAACAACACAUUUAACCAAAGGUGGUCAUUAAAGAAAGGAAAUGAGACAGG